AAAGCAUGCGCCUCCUCCUCCUCGUCGUCCUUCGCCGUGUGCACUCUCGCGACCCGAUCCUUGCCCGACAUCCGGGCGCGUGCGCGGCCCCGCGGUUCAAAGCCCUGCGCUAACCGAGGGGCGCUAGCGCCCUACCCGGCUCCCGGCCCGGUGGGAAGGGACGUUGUCGGCCGCUCCAGUGCGCCGCGGUAAUCGGUCCGGUCCUAUCGGUACUGCCGUGGCGUCCGCCCUGGCGGGUGUUACGGGAUUACACCACGCCCGCCGCAACCUCGCCGCGGUCGCCCUUCGCCGGGCCCGACCGCAACGGCGACGGUCGGCGAAACAUACCUUGAUAAAAUUGAAGUGAUCAAAACAGGCGAUGGCCCGAACAGUGGUGCACGGAAUAGUCGAACAGGACGGGGGGUCGGGCUUUUAUGCUGGUUAGGCGCGUACGCGCCGCCACCCGGCCCCCGGUAAUGAUCAACAGACACGAGCGGGGGCAUUCGUACUGACGGGCGAGAGGUGAAAUUCUGGGACCCUGUCAAGACGACCAGGAGCGAAGGCGUCUGCCAAGGACGUGUUCAUUAACAAAGAACGAAAGUUAGAGGAUCGAAGGCGAUCAGAUACCGCCCUAGUUCUAACCGUAAACGAUGCCGACCAGCGAUCGGCGACGCGCUAUGCAAUGGCCGUGCCGGCAGCUCCCCGGGAAACCUCGAGUUUUUGGGUUCCAGGGGGAGUAUGGUUGCAAAACUGAAACUUAAAGGAAUUGACGGAAGGGCACCACCAGGAGUGGAGCCUGCGGCUUAAUUUGACUCAACACGGGAAAACUCACCAGACCAAUACACCGGUAGGAUUGACAGACUGACAGCCCUUUCUAGAUUCGGUGGGCAGUGGUGCAUGGCCGUUCUUAGUUGGUGGAGCGAUUUGUCUGGUUUAUUCCGAUAACGAACGAGACCCCCACCUACUAAAUAGCUCGGCGCGUCUCGCCACUUGCGCGUAAGUGGGCUGGGGUCGGCGCUGGCGGACCAAGGGCCCGGGUCGGGGUUCCCCGUGUUCCGCAUCCGUGCCCCUCCCCCCGUCCCUCGGUGCAGUCACCUGCCCCGGAAGUCAUCGUGCACGUCGCCUCGCGCGGCGGUUGCGUUGGCGGCCGGGGAUUAAAGGGGGCCGCCGGGGAUCACGGGGUGGUGGUCGGGUGUGGGGGCGGGGGGGCCCCCCGGUCUCCCGCCGGCGUUCCCAGCCCCGGUGUUUGGCAGCGCCCGAAUUUGCAGUCUCUUCUUAGAGGUAUCGGCGGCUUGCAGCCGCACGAAAUGCAGCAAUAACAGGUCUGUGAUGCCCUCAGAUGCUCUGGGCGGCACGCGCGCUACAAUGGGGAGUUCAGCGUGUCCUCUCCGAAAGGAGCGGGGAACCGCCUGAAACCUCUUCGCGCUCGGGACCGGGGUCUGGAAGUCUUUCCCGCAAACUCGGAAUUCCGAGUAAGCGCGGCUCAUCAGGCCGCGUUGAUUACGUCCCUGCCCUUUGUACACACCGCCCGUCGCUACUACCGAUUGAACGAUCUAGCGAGGACUUUGGACUGGCGCCCCUCUGCCCCGGAGACGGGCUCGCAUUGGGGUCGACG
rnacentral:rRNA from 1 species